rnacentral:pre_miRNA from 1 species
AACAAGUGCAGCCAUAAUUUUUCGUACCUAACUUUAACCGUACGUCUUAUUUAAAAAUAUUUUUAAAAAAAUUAAAAACAUAAGUCACGAGUAAAGUAUUAUUCAUGUUUUAUCAUCUCAUAACAAUAAAAAUGCUAAUUAUAAUUUUUUUUAAAAAAAGACGGACGAUCAAAAAUUAAACGUGAAAACUGAUGGUUGUACUUAUU